rnacentral:rRNA from 1 species
UAACAGGAAGCAGCUUGCUGCUUUGCUGACGAGUGGCGGACGGGUGAGUAAUGUCUGGGAAACUGCCUGAUGGAGGGGGAUAACUACUGGAAACGGUGGCUAAUACCGCAUAACGUCGCAAGACCAAAGAGGGGGACCUUCGGGCCUCUUGCCAUCAGAUGUGCCCAGAUGGGAUUAGCUUGUUGGUGAGGUAACGGCUCACCAAGGCGACGAUCCCUAGCUGGUCUGAGAGGAUGACCAGCCACACUGGAACUGAGACACGGUCCAGACUCCUACGGGAGGCAGCAGUGGGGAAUAUUGCACAAUGGGCGCAAGCCUGAUGCAGCCAUGCCGCGUGUAUGAAGAAGGCCUUCGGGUUGUAAAGUACUUUCAGCGGGGAGG